rnacentral:rRNA from 1 species
GUGGGGAAUUUUGGACAAUGGGCGCAAGCCUGAUCCAGCAAUGCCGCGUGCAGGAAGAAGGCCUUCGGGUUGUAAACUGCUUUUGUACGGAACGAAACGGUCCGGGUUAAUACCCUGGGCUAAUGACGGUACCGUAAGAAUAAGCACCGGCUAACUACGUGCCAGCAGCCGCGGUAAUACGUAGGGUGCAAGCGUUAAUCGGAAUUACUGGGCGUAAAGCGUGCGCAGGCGGUUUUGUAAGACAGGCGUGAAAUCCCCGGGCUCAACCUGGGAAUUGCGCUUGUGACUGCAAGGAUGGAGUGCGGCAGAAGGGGAUGGAAUUCCGCGUGUAGCAGUGAAAUGCGUAGAUAUGCGGAGGAACACCGAUGGCGAAGGCAAUCCCCUGGGCCUGCACUGACGCUCAUGCACGAAAGCGUGGGGAGCAAACAGGAUUAGAAACCCCGGUAGUCC